UCUCAUAUUGUUAUGCUUCAUCGAUCAUCAACAUUCAUAAGAUACAUAUAUCCACAUUCCAAAAACCAAUACCAAUUAUAUAUAUAUAUUCCGAAAACAUACACAUAAUAAUGAGUAACCAAAGCAUAAGCAUUCAAAAGGUUCUGUGCCCUGUGAAAAGGCCACCUCCUACUAAUUCAAAUCCUCCUCCAAAACCUGUAAAAAAGUUGCCAACUAUUCAAGAUGCUUUUGCAAGAAGGAGCAAAUCAUAAUCCCACUACGUUACAGAUUCAAGUGUGCUUUUGGUGAAUGAAGCAAUGCAAUUAAGUACGUACCAUGAGGAGGAUAUAUGUAGUAGUCUUAUUUGUUUAUUUUAUUUAUUUGUUGGUUUGACUUCAUAUACAUUUGUUAAAAUAUGUAUGUGCUUCUAUCUCCAAUAGUUGUACUUUAAUUUAAUGUGUUUCUCAUUGUAAACAAGUGAGAGUUAUCUUAGUAAUAAAAAUGUGAUGAUAUGCAUUU